AGUCACGCGUCUCGGCGGAGGCUUGGGCGCCCUCCUCUCUAGGAACUUCGACAUCUGGCCGGUCCUUCUCGAGUCUCUCCACCUCGCCCUGCCAGCCCUGUUUUAUUCCCGAGCCUGCUCGCGGGCCCCUAAGGCGUCCUCUCUGGCAGCCGUGCGUCCUAGCCUGUGGCGGGUGGCGCCGCGCGUGCCCUCUGCCUCACCUUGCUCACGGCGUCUCUCCGCCCCAGUGCGCCUGUUGGCGCUCGCUCCGCUGCCUGGCUAACACCUGCUGUCCUCCGAAAUCGUCCUUCCGGUACACUGGAAAGGAAUCUGGUUAAAUACAGUUAACAUCUACAUCCCAGGACCAGUGCAGGACCUGCAGUAUUUCAUGAAUUAAAAAGAAACACAAAGAGAAAAGG
rnacentral:lncRNA from 1 species